AGUGAACGCUGGCGGUAGGCCUAACACAUGCAAGUCGAACGGCAGCACAGAGGAGCUUGCUCCUUGGGUGGCGAGUGGCGGACGGGUGAGGAGUACAUCGGAAUCUACUCUGUCGUGGGGGGUAACGUAGGGAAACUUACGCUAAUACCGCAUACGACCUACGGGUGAAAGCAGGGGAUCUUCGGACCUUGCGCGAUUGAAUGAGCCGAUGUCGGAUUAGCUAGUUGGCGGGGUAAAGGCCCACCAAGGGGACGAUCCGUAGCUGGUCUGAGAGGAUGAUCAGCCACACUGGAACUGAGACACGGUCCAGACUCCUACGGGAGGCAGCAGUGGGGAAUAUUGGACAAUGGGCGCAAGCCUGAUCCAGCCAUACCGCGUGGGUGAAGAAGGCCUUCGGGUUGUAAAGCCCUUUUGUUGGGAAAGAAAUCCAGCUGGCUAAUACCCGGUUGGGAUGACGGUACCCAAAGAAUAAGCACCGGCUAACUUCGUGCCAGCCGCCGCCGUAA
rnacentral:rRNA from 1 species